GAUGAAGAACGUAGCGAAAUGCGAUAAGUAAUGUGAAUUGCAGAAUUCAGUGAAUCAUCGAAUCUUUGAACGCACAUUGCGCCCGCCAGUAUUCUGGCGGGCAUGCCUGUCCGAGCGUCAUUUCAACCCUCGAACCCCUCCGGGGGGUCGGCGUUGGGGAUCGGGAACCCCUAAGACGGGAUCCCGGCCCCGAAAUACAGUGGCGGUCUCGCCGCAGCCUCUCCUGCGCAGUAGUUUGCACAACUCGCACCGGGAGCGCGGCGCGUCCACGUCCGUAAAACACCCAGCUUCUGAAAUGUUGACCUCGGAUCAGGUAGGAAUACCCGCUGAACUUAAGCAUAUCAAUAAGCGGAGGA
rnacentral:misc_RNA from 1 species